GCGUAUCAUUCUAAGUGAGGUGGCUC
rnacentral:sRNA from 1 species